AUUGAACGCUGGCGGCAGGCCUAACACAUGCAAGUAGAGCGAGCGGCGGACGGGUGAGGAAUGUAUGGGAAUCUGCCCGAUAGAGGGGGAUAACGAAUGGAAACGGUAGCUAAUACCGCCUACAAUCGGAUGUACCCAGAUGGGAUUAGCUAGUUGGUGGGGUAAAGGCUCACCAAGGCGACGAUCCCUAGCUGGUCUGAGAGGAUGAUCAGCCACACUGGGACUGAGACACGGCCCAGACUCCUACGGGAGGCAGCAGUGGGGAAUGUUGGGCAAUGGGGGAAACUCUGACCCAGCCAUGCCGCGUGUAUGAUGAAGGCCUUCGGGUUGUAAAGCACUGUUGUUAGAGAAGCGGUAUCUGCAGAAUAAGCACCGGCUAACUACGUGCCAGCAGCCGCGGUAAUUC
rnacentral:rRNA from 1 species